UGCAAGUCAAGGGGGCCCAGCAAUGGGCAACCGGCGAACGGGUGCGUAACACGUGAGCAACCUACCGAACUGUGGGGGAUAGCCGGCCUAACGGCCGAGUAAUACCGCAUACGCUCUCAGAGAGGCAUUUCUUUGAGGGGAAACCUACGGGACAGAUCGAGGGGCUCGCGGCCUAUCAGCUAGUUGGCGAGGUAACGGCUCACCAAGGCAACGACGGGUAGCUGGUCUGAGAGGAUGGCCAGCCACAUUGGGACUGAGAUACGGCCCAGACUCCUACGGGAGGCAGCAGUGGGGAAUCUUGCGCAAUGGCCUAACGGCUGACGCAGCGACGCCGCGUGUGGGAUGAAGCUCUUCGGAGUGUAAACCACUGUUGCCCGGGACGAACAGCUCGAUUAAUCGAGCCUGACGGUACCGGGUGAGGAAGCACCGGCUAACUCCGUGCCAGCAGCCGCGGUAAUACGGGGGGUGCGAGCGUUGUCCGGAAUCACUGGGCGUAAAGGGCGCGUAGGUGGUUUGAUAAGGGUGUGGUGAAAGUCCGGGGCUCAACCCCGGAUCUGCCGUGCCGACUGUCAAACUCGAGGACUGUAGAGGCAGACGGAAUUCCGGGUGUAGCGGUGGAAUGCGUAGAGAUCCGGAGGAAGACCGGUGGCGAAGGCGGUCUGCUGGGCAGUUUCUGACACUGAGGCGCGACAGCGUGGGGAGCAAACAGGAUUAGAUACCCUGGUAGUCCACGCCGUAAACGAUGGGUACUAGGUGCCUGGGGGAGCGACCCUCUGGGUGCCGGCGCUAACGCAGAAGUACCCCGCCUGGGGAGUACGACCGCAAGGUUGAACUCAAAGGAUUGACGGGGGCCCGCACAAGCGGUGGAGCAUGUGGUUUAAUUCGACGCAACGCGAAGAACCUUACCUAGGCUUGACAUGCACGAGCAG
rnacentral:rRNA from 1 species